rnacentral:rRNA from 1 species
AGAGUUUGAUCCUGGCUCAGGAUGAACGCUAGCGGCAGGCCUAAUACAUGCAAGCCGAACGGCAAGCUUGAUAGCAAUAUUGAGCCUAGAGUGGCGUAAGGGUGCGUAACACGUAUGCAAUCUGCCCGCAACCGGAGAAUAGCUCCCCGAAAGGGGAAUUAAUACUCCAUAAGAUCACGCGAGGGCAUCCGAGAGUGAUU